CGUCUUCCUCCUCGCCUCAUCUCCGCUCCGCUCCCCACUCGCGCUCGAGACGCCAUCCCCAGCCAAAACCCCGAGCGAACGAUGGAGGGAGGAGCCCUCGCACUCCCGCACUUCCGCUCGCGCGUCGGCAUCGGCUCGCCCAUCCUGCUCUCCGCCGACCCCGGCGCCGCCCGCAGGAGCUCCGGCGCCUCCGGGAGGAGUAGGGUUUCGAGGGUUAAUCCAGGAGCGUAUCCGAGAAGUGCAGGGAGAGGUAGGACUUGGAAGCGUGACAGCCCGGAGGCUCCACCUCGCCGAUCAGGAAUUACUAGAGUUCCAAAUCGUAGUCCUGAGAUGCCUACUGAAAGAGCAGGGAGGACUAAGGUUUCAAAUGUAAAUUUGGAGGUAUCUCAUCACAGAGCAGUUGCAGCAGUGAGGUUGCUAAGGAUUGAGAAGGGGAAGGCAUUUGUGGACCUUUUGAAUGAGAAAGGAAACAGUUCCGGAGAGAAUGAGAUGAGCUAUGUCGAAAGGACACUAGGGUUCAGCAUACGGUGUUUGGAUAACAGGGAUAUAAGAUUGGUUACUGUCAUAGUCGCUGGAACUGUGCGUUGGAAACGGUACCUUGAUUAUCUGAUCAUGUCACUCUGUAGUGAGGAGAAGGUGUUCAGGGAGAUGGAACCACUACUUCUGCAGAUAUUACGAAUUGGUUUCUUUGAAAUUCUCAAGCUCAAUGUGCCAGCUUAUGCUGCUGUUGAUGAGAAUGUAAGGCUUGCUAAAGUAGCUCUAAGGCCUGGUGCUGGGAACCUGGUGAAUGCAAUUCUGCGUAAACUUCUACUGCUAAAGGAGGCAAACUCUCUUCCUCUUCCAAAGAUAGAAGGUGAUGAUCGUGCCCAAGCUCGCGCACUUUCCAUUAUUUAUUCUCAUCCUGUCUGGAUGGUGAGAAGAUGGAUUCGUUUUCUGGGCAAAGAAGAAGCUCUAAAAUUAAUGAAAUGGAAUAACAGUGAUCCUCAUUUCAGUAUAAGGGUCAACACAGCAAAUGGGUAUACAAGGGCUGAUCUUAUAGAUCGAUUGGAAAGUUUGCAGGUUCAUUAUGAGAAGUCAACUAUGGAUGAAUUUGUCCGUAUUCAGGAGGGUAUGCAGACUGUCCUGCAAGCUGGACUACUGAAAGAAGGCAUGUGUGCUGUGCAGGAUGAGAGUGCAGGUCUUGUGGUGUCUGUGGUCGAUCCACAACCUGGGGAAACAAUCAUUGAUUGUUGUGCUGCACCUGGUGGCAAAACUUUGUUCAUGGCAGCCCGUUUAUCGGGACAAGGGAAGAUAUGGGCACUUGACAUAAACAAAGGUCGGUUGAGAAUUCUCAUGGAGGCAGCAAAGUUACACAAUCUUGAUGCUAUGAUCAGUGACAUCCAUGCUGAUCUUCGACUAUAUGCUAAGGAAACCACUGCAACAUUUGACAAGGUACUGUUGGAUGCUCCAUGCUCUGGGUUAGGAGUUCUUUCCAAGAGGGCAGACUUGCGGUGGAAUAGACAAUUCGAAGAUUUGGAGGAGCUAAUGUGUUUGCAAGAUGAGCUUCUUGAUUCUGCAUCAAUGUUAGUAAAGCCUGGUGGUAUAUUAGUCUACAGUACAUGUUCCAUUGACCCUGAAGAAAACGAGCACAGAAUUGCUGCUUUUGUUCAGAGGCAUCCGGACUUUGUCCUACAGAGCGUGCAUGGAUAUGUUCCUGCUGAAUUUGUCACAGAUGAGGGUUUCUAUUCCUCAAGUCCAACUAAGCACUCUAUUGAUGGGGCAUUUGCUGCUCGUCUUGUUCGGUCCGUCCUCUAGGAGUUCAACAAAUAGAUAAGCUGUCACAAUGAAGAAUGCUGAGGUCAUCCUGAUUCCUGGCAGGCAAACUGCAUUUUGAUGAUGAUGUACCACAAGAUAUAUAUGUUGAGAGCUAGAGUCCUAGCAACUUACGGAUGGUAUCAAUGAGGUCGUAAAGAUAUGAGGUCCUGCCGAUAAAAGAAGAUCAGUUGCCAUACCAAAUGUUGAGAAUUAUAAGCCGUAAUUAUCUAUUGUGAUGCCCUUCUGACUCCACGAAGAAAGCAGCUGGUGGCCUUGGCUCAAUGUUAUAACUUUUUGCAGAAUGGUAGCCAGUGCUUUGCAAACACGGAGGCCUCCCAUAGAGCAUAGAAAGUAAGAAUUGAACCUCCAUCAUCAGAAAGAAUGGUAGCCAUUUCUUUGCAAAUAUGGAGGCCUCCCAUAAAGCAUAGAAAGUAAGAAUUGAACCUCCAUCAUCGGAAAGGUACACACUUAUUUUUUCUGAUGGGUAAUUGUAUGCCAUAACUGAUAGGAUGGUAGAGAUGACAAGGCUUGGUGGCUCUGAUUGUGGAUCCGCAGUGCAUACAAAGAUAUCCACACCAGGUAGAUUUUGUUCAUAUCUGCUUCAAAGGAUAUGGUAAAUGUGUUAAAUUGUGGGAAAUAUAUGUUUUCUCAAUGAUGGAUAUAAAACCAACCUCUACGUCAAAAAUGUUUUGGCCAUAAUAUUUUUACAAUAAAGAAACAUUUUUAAGUUGUGAAAAGAAAAAAACAAACUAGUGAACAUAGCUAAGUAAAAAUAAGUUUAAUGCAAAUAGAUAAUUGAUGAAAUAGCCCUACUAUAAUAGAUGGCAGAGGGUUUGUAGUACACGAAGCACUGGGUGAUCUAGUACACGGGAAGGGCCUAGAAGUGCAUACACCACACCACACGGCACUUGGCUCUACCUUCACUUCCUUGGGCAAAGCGGUGCUUUGUUUCGUGACCAAAUUAAGUAUUUGUGAUUGAUUGUGAAAGAUAUAUGGAUAAAGAUAUAUCCAUCCAUGUAUCCCGAUAUUGAAAAGGAUUAAUUGAUUCCAUAACACCUUAGAUUCAAAGAAAUGCGUUUAGCCCCAUUCCUGCGCCAGGCUAAGGCUACUUUUUUGUUGAAGUUCGGAACUUUUUCUUUUUGACCUUCUAACUCAUACUUGAUCAUACUGGCAUGGCUCCACUAUUUUGUUUUCGAUCGGAGCAUCAAGCAGUACAACUCAUUUCUACUUAACUAAGCAUGUGCUAAAGGAGGAGAGAGUUUGCUUUACCGAAGUCCCCUUUUUUAUAAGGGUCCUUUGAUUCAUAGGAUCGGCAAAGGAUUUUCGCAGCAUUCAAAUUCCUAUGAAUUUUUUCCUCUCUGUCACUUUGAUUUGUAGGGAAAGAAAGGAAACUUUACAUAGAAUUGCAUUACUAUGUUUCGCAUUUCAUAGGAAAAAACAGUAAGAGAGUAUGAGCUCUUUGUAAACUUUCAUUUGUUUUUCCUAUGGCACUAUCAAAUAGUUCCUAUCUUC